GAUGAACGCUGGCGGCGUGCCUAAUACAUGCAAGUCGAGCGAACAGACGAGGAGCUUGCUCCUCUGACGUUAGCGGCGGACGGGUGAGUAACACGUGGAUAACCUACCUAUAAGACUGGGAUAACUUCGGGAAACCGGAGCUAAUACCGGAUAAUAUAUUGAACCGCAUGGUUCAAUAGUGAAAGACGGUUUUGCUGUCACUUAUAGAUGGAUCCGCGCCGCAUUAGCUAGUUGGUAAGGUAACGGCUUACCAAGGCAACGAGGCGUAGCCGACCUGAGAGGGUGGUCGGCGACCCUGGAACUGAGACACGGUCAAGACUACUACGGGAGGCAGCAGUAGGGAAUCUUACGCAAUGGGCGAAAGCUUGACGGAGCAACGCCGAGUGAGUGAUGAAGGUCUUCGGAUCGUAAAAAUCUGUUAUUAGGGAAGAACAAAUGUGUAAGUAAAUAUGCACGUCUUGACGGUAACUAAUCAGAAAGCCACGGCUAACUACGUG
rnacentral:rRNA from 1 species